UGCCAGAUUCUCCAGGAAUAGGGUUGCGAGAUAAGAUAGGACACCGUUGGCCAGGAGCAGUGGCUCAUGCCUGUAAUCCCAGCUCUUUGGGAGGCCAAGGUGGGAGGGCUGUGGUGAGGAGCAGAAGGAAUUGUGGUGCCUGGAUUCUUGGGGUCCCAGAGAGAAAUGCAAAAGGGGCAGGUUUGCCUUUCUUAAGAUACUUGGCUGGGCACAGUGGCUCACGCCUAUAAUCCCAGUGCUUUGGGAGGCCACAGUGGGAGCACUGCUUGAGGCCAGGAGUUUGAGAAUGCCCUGGGCAACAAAGUGAGACCCUGUCUCCUCCACAGCAAAAUUUAAAAUUUAGGCCAGGCUCUGUUUCUCUUGGGUUGAUUUUUCACCAUCCUCCCACGCUCCACCUGCCAGGAUACUGCACCAUCCACGUUCAGGUCUCUCGUGCAUACAUAGCCCAUGCACAGCCCAUCUUAGUUCAGAAGGAAUAUCUGCAUUUCUAAGCUCAGUUUAGACUGGUUUCUUCAACUUCAACCAAAGACAUGUGCUCAACAUCAUUUAUUUUGGGAAGGGAGGAUUUCUCCACCAACUUCGAGGCCCCCGGGGGCAUGACCUGUAUCUUCCUUCAGGGCUGACUCACAGUCCGUUUUGUGCUUAUUAGAUGAAUAAAUGAGGGAACAGAGAAGGUAAUGUAAUAUUUGCCUUUCUUAUUUUUGGAUAAAAAAAAUAAGUAGAAUCAGUAUUUUCUUCUUGCACCCAUGUGACAGUCUUGAGCACACCAGGGCAAUUGACUGCUGAGAAGCGCCAGGGAGCGGGGCACAAAGUUCUGCUGGUGCUGCCUCGUAGGGGUGUAAGGAUAUCCACUUAAGGGCACAGCAGUGGACAGGGCUAUGUGACCUGGGAAAGGUGACUGCUCUCUCUGAGCUUCCAUUUCCACUCAGUCACUGCUGGGGUAAAAACAUGUGUAAAACAGCACACAGAGCAUGCCAUCAGCAUCUCUACCUUUUGACACAGUCAACGCUGGAGACCACUGAGACCGCAGGAUAUCGAGGCAGAUGCUGCCAUUGCUGUUGAUAUUAGGGUGAUAAAUUUUGGUUGUGAAAGCAACCUGCAAAGACAAGAGAUCCCCAAUCAGACAAACCACAGGGACGUCUGGGAAAUGAACCAAGUAAAGCAGAAGCAGCUGCUGCUGGGCUGUACCUGGAGUGUGCUGCAUACCUGGCCCCACAGUGCAGGCUAAGCUAGACCCCCACUCCCAAACUCUAAUGGGAUAUGGGAGUGAGUGAUCACCCAGAAGUUCCCUGACCCAUUCCCUGCUGGAUUCUCAUUCUGAACAUAGGGGGAUUGAUACCAUCUCCCUGAAAGCAGUAUGCUCUGAGGAAUAACAAGGGUGGUGGAAAGGACUCAAAAGCCCAGGAAGUUUUAUGCAAAAAGCAGUGAUGUUUUGUUGAUGUAUCAGCAGAAAAGCUCGGGCCCAAAGACUUCAUGACUAAAACACCAAAAGCAAUGGCAACGAAAGCCAAAAUAGCCAAAUGGGAUCUAACUAAACUAAAGAGCUUCUGCACAGCAAAAGAAACUAUCAUCAGAGUGAACAGGCAACCGACAGAAUGGGAGAAAAAUUUUGCAAUCUACCCAUCUGACAAAGGGCUAAUAUCCAGAAUCUACAAAGAACUUAAACAUAUUUGUAAGAAAAUAUCAAACAACCCCAUCAAAAAGUGGGCAAAGGAUAUGAACAGACACUUCUCAAAAGAAGACAUUUAUGCAGCCAACAGACACAUAAAAAAUGCUCAUCAUCACUGGUCAUCAGAGAAAUGCAAAUCAAAACCACAAUGAGAUACUAUCUCACAGCAGUUAGAAUGGCGAUCAUUAAAAAUCAGGAAACAACAGAUGCUGGAGAGGAUGUGGAGAAAUAGGAAUGCCUUUACACUGGUGGUGGGAGUGUAAAUUAGUUCAACCAUUGUGGAAGACAGUGUGGCGAUUCCUCAAGGUAUUCCUCUAGUACUAGAAAUGUCAUUUGAUUCAGUAGUGAUCCCAUUACUGGGUACAUACCCAAAGGAUUAUAAAUCAUGCUACUAUAAAGACACAUGCACACGUAUGUUUAUUGUGGCACUACUCACAAUAGCAAAGACUUGGAACCAACCCAAAUGUCCAUCAAUGAUACACUGGAUUAAGAAAAUGUGGCAUAUAUACACCAUGGAAUACUAUGCAGCCAUAAAAAAGGAUAAGUUCACGUCCUUUGCAGAGACAUGGAUGAAACUGGAAACCAUCAUUCUCAGCAAACUAUCACAAGGACAGAAAACCAAACACUAGGCCAGGCAUGGUGGCUCACACCUGUAAUCCCAGCACUUUGGGAGGCUGAGACAGGCGGAUCACCUGAGGUCAGCAGUUCGAGACCAGCCUCAACAUGGAGAAACCCCGUCUCUAUUAAAAAUACAAAAUUAGCCGGGCAUGGUGGUGCAGGCCUGUAAUCCCAGCUACUCGGGAGGCUGAGGCAGGAGAAUUGCUUGAACCUGGGAGGUGGAUGUUGCGGUGAGCCGAGAUCACGCCAUUGCACUCCAUCCUGGGCAACAAGAGCAAAACUCUUGUCUCAAAAAAAAAAAAAAAAGAAAACCAAACACUGCAUGUUCUCACUCAUAGACGGGAAUUGAACAAUGAGAACACAGGGACACAGGGCGGGG
rnacentral:lncRNA from 1 species